rnacentral:rRNA from 1 species
UACGGAGGGUGCGAGCGUUGUCCGGAAUCAUUGGGCGUAAAGGGCGCGUAGGUGGCCUGCUAAGCGUGCGGUGAAAGCCUGGGGCUCAACCCCGGGUCGGCCGUGCGAACUGGUGGGCUUGAGCACUGUAGAGGCAGGCGGAAUUCCGGGUGUAGCGGUGGAAUGCGUAGAGAUCCGGAAGAACACCAGUGGCGAAGGCGGCUCACUGGCCCGAUACUGACGCUGAGGUGCGAAAGCGUGGGGAGCAAACAGGG